rnacentral:rRNA from 1 species
GACGAACGCUGGCGGCGUGCUUAACACAUGCAGGUCGAACGGUAAGGCCCUUCGGGGUACACGAGUGGCGAACGGGUGAGUAACACGUGGGUGAUCUGCCCUGCACUUCGGGAUAAGCCUGGGAAACUGGGUCUAAUACCGGAUAGGACCACUGCCUGCAUGGGUGGCGGUGGAAAGCUUUUGCGGUGUGGGAUGGGCCCGCGGCCUAUCAGCUUGUUGGUGGGGUGAUGGCCUACCAAGGCGACGACGGGUAGCCGGCCUGAGAGGGUGACCGGCCACACUGGGACUGAGAUACGGCCCAGACUCCUACGGGAGGCAGCAGUGGGGAAUAUUGCACAAUGGGCGCAAGCCUGAUACAGCGACGCCGCGUGAGGGAUGACGGCCUUCGGGUUGUAAACCUCUUUCAGCACCGACGAAGCGCAGGUGACGGUAGGUGCAGAAGAAGGACCGGCCAACUACGUGCCAGCAGCCGCCGUAA